rnacentral:tRNA from 1 species
AGCCCGGCUAGCCUUGUGGUUAAGGUGUUCGAUUCACAAUCGUUCACCCCGGGUUCGAUCCCCGUGGGGCUC